rnacentral:lncRNA from 1 species
CCCCCUUCCAGAGCCGGGCGGGAGGGGGACCCUGAGGGUGGGGGCACCCUCAGGGCACUAUAGUGCCAGGAAAACGAGUAUGUUUUCCUGGCACUAUAGUGGUCCUUUAAUAGGUAGAACAUACUUCCAUUUAUUUAUUGGCAGUCCUUUGUAAAGAGUAGAGCUCCUUCCAUUUAGAGGCACUCCUUUAUAAUGGGUCGAACAUCCUUCUUUUAUUUUUUGGCACUCCUUUGUAAUGGGUGGAACAUCCUUUCAUUUAGUGGCACUCUUUUGUAAUGGGUAGAACAUCCUUCCAUUUAGUGGCACUCCUUUGUAAUGGGUAGAGCAUCCUUCCAUUAAUGUUGCACACCUGGUAAUGGGUAGAACAUCCUUCCAUUUAGUGGCACUCCUCAUAAUGGGUAGAACAUCCUUCCAUUUAGUGACACUCCUUGUAAUGGGUGGAACAUCCUUCCAUUUAGUGGCACUCCUCGUAAUGGUUAGAACAUCCUUCCAUUUAGUGGCACUCCUCGUAAUGGGUAGAACAUCCUUCCAUUUUGUGGCACUCCUCGUAAUGAGUAGAGCAUCCUUCCAUUUAGUGGCACUCCUCGUAAUGAGUAGAGCAUCCUUCCAUUUAGUGGCACUCCUUUGUAAUGGAUAGAACAUCCUUCCAUUUAGUGGCACUCCUUCGUAAUGGGGAGGAAAUCCUUAUAUUUAGUGGCACUGUGUCAUAAUUGGUGUUAUUUAUUUUCAUUUGGUGUCAGUCCUUAAUGGAUGGAUUAUCUUUAAGUUGGCAGUGCCUUGUGCUUGGCAGGUAUUGGGUGAGUGGUGGCUGUUCUUUCUGGGUAGGUUUAGAAUGGAGUGAAGGUUCCCUUCAAUGACUAUGAUUAGACAGGUUCUCUCAAUGAGUUUAAUUAGACAGGUUCUCUCAAUGAAUAUAAUAAGGCAAGUUCUCUCGGUGAGUUUGAUAGGACAGGUUCCAUCUGUGAGUAUAAUAAGACAGGUUUUCUCGGUGAGUAUAAUAAGACAGGUUCUAUCUGUGAGUAUAAUAAGACAGGUACUCUCAAUGAGUAUAAUAAGACAGGUUCUAACGGUGAGUAUAAUAAGACAGGUUCUCUCAGUGAGUAUAAAAAGACAGGUACUCUCAGUGAGGAUAAAAAGACAGGUACUCUCGGUGAGUAUAAUAAGACAGGUUCUCUCGGUGAGUAUAAUAAGACAGGUGCUCUCAUAGAGUAUAAUAAGACAGGUUCUCUCAGAGAGUAUAAUAAGACAGGUUCUCUCAGUGAGUAUAAUAAGACAGGUUCUAUCGGUGAGUAUAAUAAGACAGGUUCUCUCAGUGAGUAUAAUAAGACAGGUUCUCUCAGUGAGUAUAAAAAGACAGGUACUCUCAGUGAGUAUAAUAAGACAUGCUCCCUAAAUGGAUAAGACAUUCAAUAAAUAUCUGAUUAGACCCGCCAUUCUAUCAUGUUUAAGAGGAGUAAACAGAGAAUGGUGAUUUUUUUUUUCACUUUCUGUUACAGACAUUUAUAGACAAUGAGUAAUAAGGCUUAGGUUUGUAAAUAAUAUUGAAAUGCUGUGACAAUUGACGUAACAGAAGAUUCAAUCCUGAUCCACGUCAGGUUUGCCAGUUACUGUCACCAUUCUUUCUCCAGCAUUGCCCUAACAAGUCUUUCCUUCAUUGACUGACCAAAUUAAUUACUUAUCUAGACUCUCAGUGAUGUGCCACUGGAUUCCUAAUCCCUCAGUGACGUGCCACUGGAUUCCUUAUCCCCCAGUUUAGUGACGUCCCACUGGAUUCCUAGUCCCUCAGUGACGUGCCACUGGAUUUCUAAUCCCCCAGUUAGUGACGUGCCACUGGAUUUCUAUUUUCUUAGCUCAGAGACAUGCCUCUGGAUUUAUAGUUCCACAGCUCAGUGAUGUGCCAUUAGAUUCCUAGCCUCUCAAUGAUGUGUCACUGGAUUCCUAGUCCCUCAGUGAUGUCACUGGAUUUCUAGUCUCUCAGUGAUGUGUCACUGGAUUCCUAGUCUCUCAAUGAUGUGUCACUGGAUUUAUAGUUCCCCAGCUCAGUGACAUGCCAUUAGAUUCCUAGCUCCUCAAUGAUGUGUCACUGGAUUUCUAGUCUCUCAGUAAUAUGUCACUGGAUUCCUAGUCUUUCAGUAAUAUGUCACUGGAUUCCUAGUCUCAGUGAUGUUUCACUGGAUUCCUAGUCUCAGUGAUGUGUCACUGGAUUCCUAGUCUCUCAAUGAUGUGUCACUGGAUUUAUAGUUCCCCAGCUCAGUGACGUGCCAUUAGAUUCCUAGCUCCUCAAUGACGUGUCACUGGAUUUCUAGUCUCUCAGUAAUAUGUCACUGGAUUCCUAGUCUUUCAGUAAUAUGUCACUGGAUCCCUAGUCCCUCAAUGAUAUGUCACUGGAUUCCUAGUCCCUCAAUGAUGUGUAACUGGAUUCCUACUCCCUCAAUGAUGUGUCACUGGAUUCCUAGUCUUUCAGUAAUAUGUCACUGUAUUUCUAGUCCCUCAAUGAUGUGUCACUGGAUUCCUAGUCUCAGUGAUGUGUCACUGGAUUCCUAGUCUCUCAAUGAUGUGUCACUGGAUUCCUAGUCUCAGUGAUGUGUCACUGGAUUCCUAGUCUCUCAAUGAUGUGUCACUGGAUUCCUAGUCUCAGUGAUGUGUCACUGGAUUCCUAGUCUCUCAAUGAUGUGUCACUGGAUUUCUAGUCUCUCAAUGAUGUGUCACUGGAUUUCUAGUCUCUCAAUGAUGUGUCACUGGAUUCCUAGUCUCAGUGAUGUGUCACUGGAUUCCUAGUCCCUCAAUGAUGUGUCACUGGAUUCAUAGUCUCAGUGAUGUGUCACUGGAUUCCUAGUCCCUCAAUGAUGUGUCACAGGAUUUCUAGUCUCUCAAUAUGUCACUGGAUUUCUAGUCUCUCAAUGAUGUGUCACUGGAUUUCUAGUCUCUCAAUGAUGUGUCACUGGAUUCCUAGUCCCUCUAUGUUGUAUCACUAGAUUUCUAGUCUCUCAGUGAUGUGUCACUGGAUUUCUAGUUCCCAUGCUCAAUGAUGUGCCACUGAAUUCUUAAUCCAUCAUUGACAUGCCACUGGAUUUUUAUUCCCUCAAUUAAGAGAUGCGCCACAAGGUUUUUGGCCCCCAGCUCAGUGAUGGAUUUCUAGUCACUGGAUUACUAGUCUCUCAGAGAUGUGCCACUGGAUUUCUAGUCCCCCAGCUCAGUGAUGGAUUUCUAGUCACUGGAUUACUAGUGUCUCAGUGAUGUGCCGCUGGAUUUCUAGUCCCCCAGCUCAGUGAUGUGCCACUGGAUUUCUAGUCUCUCAGUGAUGUGCCGCUGGAUUUCUAGUCCCCCAGCUCAGUGAUGUGCCGCUGGAUUUCUAGUCCCACAGCUCAGUGAUGUGCCACUGGAUUUCUAGUCCCCCAGCUCAGUGAUGUGCCGCUGGAUUUCUAGUCCCCCAGCUCAGUGAUGUGCCACUGGAUUACUAGUCUCUCAGUGAUGUGCCACUGGAUUUCUAGUACCCCAGUGUUGUCCUACUGGUUUUCCAGUCCCUUAGCUCGUUAACAUACCACUGGAUUUCUAGUCCUUUGGUGAUGUGCCACUGGAUUUCUAGUCCCUUAGUGUUGUGCCACUAGAGUUCUAGUUCUCCUGCUCUGUGACAUGCCACUGAAUAUGUAAUCCCUCACCUCAAUGACAUGCCACUGGAGUUUUAGUCUCUCAGAUCAGUUUCGUACCACUGGAUUCCUAGUCCCUCAGUGACAUUCCACUGGAUUUCUAGCUCUCAGUUCAGCGACGUUCCACUUGAUCUCUCGUCCUUCAGUAACUGGAUUUCUAGUCCCCCAGUUCAGUGACCAUCCACUGUAUCUCUCAUCCCUCAUUGACGUGCCACUGGAUUCCUACUCCCCAGUGACAUUACACUGGAUUUGCAGUCCCUCAGCUCAAUGCCGUACCACUGGUUUCUAGUUUCCCAGAUCAGUGGCAUACCACAGGAUCUCUCAUCCAUUAGUGAUGUGCCACUGGAUUUUUGUUCCCUUGGUGAAGUGCCACUGGAUUUCUAGUCCCCCCACCUCAGUAAUGUGUCCCUGGAUUUCUGUUCCCAUAGCUCAGUUAUGUGCCAUUGUAUUUAGGACAGUCUUACUCAAGAAGAUUAGUGUUACUUGUUGACGUUCACCUUCAGUUUCAUUCAUGCACAUUGUUUGCCACUUUAGUUUAAUUUUUAUUAGGUUUUUUUGUAUAUGUUGUGAUCAAAUUUUUUUCUUUUUAUUAAUUCUUUAAACACUAAGUACAUUCACCCUUGUGAUUGUGUUUCCAAAUGAUCCCAGGUUCUCCUUUCUGUGACUCUGGCACGGCCCUUUCACCUCCGACCUUGAUGAUAUUUUGCUUCAUGUUAGAUGCUGCCACCGUUUCCCGAUAUUCUUGUCCUGCGUUUCCCUCCUCCCUUCCUCCUACACACAUGGACACACACCCGUGCACACACUCAAAAUAAAUACAUGUAUGAUGCAGUCUAUAUGUCCUUUAUUGAGGGCCUACAAUGUAGACUUAUCAAACUGCCCAAAUUAUUUUUUAAUGGGUUGUGAUGUUUUAUGGGCAUUUUUGAAACUCAAGACAUAUGGGACUACUAAUCAAACUUACCCAGGUUUAAAAUGGCAGAAUAUGAAGUCACAUGACCCAUGGGGAACGCUACUUAGAGCAUUUUACAAAAACCUUAGCUAAUAAGAUAAAUCAGAAGGUCUAAUUACACGUUACUCAUAGGGUAUUCCUGCGUAUUCAUGUAAUCCCCAAGGGGCUACAGUGACACAUAGGUUAUUUUUGUACCCUGGGUGAAGUUAGGUCCCUCCUCCUAGACUUACAGGACACUUGCUAAGACCUGGUGCUCCAACGCAUUUCGUGUCCAACUUCACCUUAUCCGUGGACAGAAGUGCAUCUGACACUGACAUCCAAAACACACGUACACACAAGCCUGUAAAGAUUGCACUAGUUGUGAGGUGUUAUGUAUAUUGAUGUAACGGGAAUGUUUAAUUGCUAUUUUGUAUCAAUCAAAAAAAAAAAAGGUUGCUAUUAAAUAAUUUUUUUGUGAUUGGAGCUAAAAAAAAAACCUUUCUCUUUUGAUAAACAUAAUGUGCUCUUUUUAAUAUUAUUAUUUGUACAGCUGAAAGUGAGAAUGGAUAAUAUUUAUUUGUGUGUAUACUGCUGAAUUCUGCCUCACAACAAAGUAUCAUGGAGUUGUGACAAACAGUGCUAAUUUCUAUCCAUUUGUCGCAAAGCAGCACUGUGCGUUCCCUCUGGUAGCGAAGUGUUUAAACAUAUGAUCUGAUCAUUAAAUAUGUCUAUUUUUUAAAGAGAUACAAAUUCUUCUGCC